rnacentral:hammerhead_ribozyme from 1 species
AUACAGCUGACGAGUUCAAAAUAGGACGAAAAGCGCGUCCUUUAU